rnacentral:rRNA from 1 species
CCCUUAGAUGUCCUGGGCCGCACGCGCGCUACACUGAACGGAUCAGCGCGUUUUCCCUUCCCGAGAGGGACGGGUAACCUGCUGAACCCCGUUCGUGGUAGGGAUCGGGGCUUGCAAUUAUUCCCCGUGAACCAGGAAUGCCCAGUAAGUGCAAGUCAUAAGCUUGCGUUGAUUACGUCCCUGCCCUUUGCACACACCGCCCGUCGCUACUACCGAUUGAACGUUUUAGUGAGGUACUCGGACUGAGCCUCAGAAGAUUCACGUCUUUUGUGCUGCUCGGGAAGAUUCCCAAACUUGAGCGUUUAGAGGAAGUAAAAGUCGUAACA